rnacentral:rRNA from 1 species
AACUAACGCUGGCGGCGUGCCUAACACAUGCAAGUCGUACGAGAAAGCCGGCUUCGGCUGGUGAGUAAAGUGGCGCACGGGUGAGUAACGCGUGGAUAAUCUGCCCUUAAGUGUGGAAUAACGUACCGAAAGGUGCGCUAAUACCGCAUAAUGCCUGGCAACACAAGUUGUCCGGCCAAAGAAGGCCUCUGUUUACAAGCUUUCGCUUCAGGAUGAGUCCGCGUACCAUUAGCUUGUUGGUGGGGUAAUGGCCUACCAAGGCUGCGAUGGUUAGCUGGUCUGAGAGGAUGAUCAGCCACACUGGAACUGAGACACGGGUCCAGACUCCUACGGGAGGCAGCAGUGAGGAAUAUUGCGCAAUGGGGGCAACCCUGACGCAGCAACGCCGCGUGAGUGAGGAAGGUUUUCGGACUGUAAAGCUCUGUCGAGCGGGAAGAAGUGUACCAUGGCUAAUAUCCAUGAUAUUUGACGGUACCG